CGCAGGUUCGGGUCUCACGUAGUGAGACAACGGAGCCGCUUGCGGCGACGGCCCGAAGGGCGAGCGAAGCGAGUCAUCCUGCACGACCCACCA
rnacentral:sRNA from 3 species